AUGUUGUCUAGUGGCAGCUACGGCAAGAAGCUGCUCCCGUCCGUGUCAGCAGAAGCAGAAGCGGCCACGCCCUCGCCGUCACAGGCCGCUCCGCACCUCCGGCACCGGCCCGGUGCCGGGAGCGGCGGCGCCGGCAGCGAGCAGGACGAGGAGGACAUUGACGAGUCGAUAAUGGCGGCACGGCAGGUGGGGCAGGUGGCGCACGUUCGGAGCCAGGCGUCGACGCAGGCGACGUGGAAGGAGUGGCCGCACCGCGGCAGCACCCGGAGCUCCUCCCCGGUGGCCAGGUCGGCCAGGCAGAUGGCGCACUGCUCCUCCAGCUGGUGCCCUUCUUUCACUGCCGUGACGGGGAGCGCGUCGAUGGCCUUCUUCUUCAGGCCUCGGGGAGGAAGAGGCAAGGUCAUGGUGAUGCUAUUGCCGGCGAACGGUGAAGAGCGGCGGGCGUGGCGGCAGGUGCAGCGCGCGACGAGGGCGAGGCCGGCGAGGCAGACGAGCGCGCAGAGGAGGGAGGCCAGGAUGACCACCAUGUUGGGGUCGAUGGAGAUCAUGGCCGCCGGCGCCGACGAGGAAGAUGAGGAGGCAGCUGGGUUGGGGGCAGCGGCGGUGGUGCUAGAGCUAGAGUGGACAAGGCUCGCUGGAGUGCGCAUGGUGGUCGACGUACGGUAA
rnacentral:rRNA from 1 species